rnacentral:rRNA from 1 species
CUUGACGACCAUAGAGCGUUGGAACCACCUGAUCCCAUUCCGAACUCAGAAGUGAAAUCCCUUAUGGCCCAUGAUAGUCGGUUUUCCCGGCGAAAGUAGGUAGCUGCCUCAC